rnacentral:rRNA from 1 species
AUGUGCAUGAUGCAUCAUCAGAGGCCGAAGAAGAUGGUGGCUUUUGAAGGUGAUUUGACUGGGAGGCGAUUCCUGGGUUGUCCUGUGCAGCAGGAUGUAGGUGUGAACUGUGGGGUUGUGGAGUGGGUGGAUGGUCAUUGGCCAGAGAUUCUACAAAGGUGCCUAACAAGGAUUUGGGACAUGUACCAUGAGCGAACUUGGGGAGGGUGA